rnacentral:pre_miRNA from 1 species
CAAAUACUCCCCCCGUUCCAUAAUUCUUGACGCAACUUUGUCUAGAUACAGAUGUAUCUAGACGCAUUUUAGUGUGUUGGUUUGCUCAUUUUAGAAAGAAUUUGCAUCAAGAAUUAUGGAACGGAGGGAGUACUAU